rnacentral:ribozyme from 1 species
AAAAAAAGAGACAAAAAAAAAAAACGGGAAAAAAAAAAAAAGAGAACGAGUGAGUUUGCCU